AUUGAACACUGGCGGCAGGCCUAACACAUGCAAGUCGAGCGGAUGAAGGGAGCUUGCUCCUGGAUUCAGCGGCGGACGGGUGAGUAAUGCCUAGGAAUCUGCCUGGUAGUGGGGGAUAACGUCCGGAAACGGGCGCUAAUACCGCAUACGUCCUGAGGGAGAAAGUGGGGGAUCUUCGGACCUCACGCUAUCAGAUGAGCCUAGGUCGGAUUAGCUAGUUGGUGGGGUAAAGGCCUACCAAGGCGACGAUCCGUAACUGGUCUGAGAGGAUGAUCAGUCACACUGGAACUGAGACACGGUCCAGACUCCUACGGGAGGCAGCAGUGGGGAAUAUUGGACAAUGGGCGAAAGCCUGAUCCAGCCAUGCCGCGUGUGUGAAGAAGGUCUUCGGAUUGUAAAGCACUUUAAGUUGGGAGGAAGGGCAGUAAGUUAAUACCUUGCUGUUUCGACGUUACCAACAGAAUAAGCACCGGCUAACUUCGUG
rnacentral:rRNA from 1 species